GACGAACGCUGGCGGCGUGCUUAACACAUGCAAGUCGAACGGAAAGGCCCUGCUUUUGUGGGGUGCUCGAGUGGCGAACGGGUGAGUAACACGUGAGUAACCUGCCCUUGACUUUGGGAUAACUUCAGGAAACUGGGGCUAAUACCGGAUAGGAGCUCCUGCUGCAUGGUGGGGGUUGGAAAGUUUCGGCGGUUGGGGAUGGACUCGCGGCUUAUCAGCUUGUUGGUGGGGUAGUGGCUUACCAAGGCUUUGACGGGUAGCCGGCCUGAGAGGGUGACCGGGCACAUUGGGACUGAGGUACGGCCCAGACUGCUACGGGGGGCAGCAGGGGGGAAUAUUGCACAAUGGGCGGAAGCCUGAUGCAGCAACGCCGCGGGCGGGAUGACGGCCUUCGGGUUGUAAACCGCUUUCGCCUGUGACGAAGCGUGAGUGACGGUAAUGGGUAAAGAAGCACCGGCUAACUACGUG
rnacentral:rRNA from 1 species